UGAAUACGAGAUGCUACGGCGUCGAAGCAGUCUAUGCCAUACUUCCAAGAAAAGCUUGCACUGUCAUAAACAAAUAAUGCCUGUACCAUAACCGACACAGGUGGGUAGGUAGAGUAUACUAAGGGGCGCGAGAUAACUCUCUCUAAGGAACUCGGCAAAAUGACUCCGUAACUUCGGGAGAAGGAGUGCCUUAUUUAUAAGGUUGCAAUAACAAGAUCCAAGCAACUGUUUAUCAAAAACACAGGUCUCCGCUAAGUCGUAAGACGAUGUAUGGGGGCUGACGCCUGCCCAGUGCCAGAAGGUUAAAGAAGUUGGUUAGUGUAUGCGAAGCUGAUGACUGAAGCCCUGGUGAACGGCGGCCGUAACUAUAACGGUCCUAAGGUAGCGAAAUUCCUUGUCGGGUAAGUUCCGACCCGCACGAAAGGCGUAAUGAUUUGGAUACUGUCUCGGAGAGAGGCUCGGUGAAAUAGACUUGUCUGUGAAGAUGCGGACUACCUGCACCAGGACAGAAAGACCCUAUGAAGCUUUACUGUAACUUGAAAUUGGAAUUGGACUUUGCUUGCGCAGUAUAGGUGGGAAGCGUUGAAGAUAUUCUUGCGGGAGUAUUGGAGCUAUCAGUGAGAUACCACUCUUGUAAUGUUAGAUUUCUAACUUUGAACCAUAAUCUGGUCAAAGAACAGUUUCAGGUGGGCAGUUUGACUGGGGCGGUCGCCUCCCAAAUGGUAACGGAGGCGUACAAAGGUUUCCUCUGAACGGAUAGAAAUCGUAUCUAGAGUGUAAAGGCAUAAGGAAGCUUGACUGUGAGACCUACAAGUCGAGCAGGGACGAAAGUCGGUCUUAGUGAUCUGACGGUACUGAGUGGAAAGGCCGUCACUCAACGGAUAAAAGUUACUCUAAGGAUAACAGGCUGAUCUCCCCCAAGAGUUCACAUCGACGGGGAGGUUUGGCACCUCGAUGUCGGCUCAUCGCAUCCUGGGGCGGUAGUACGUCCCAAGGGUUGGGCUGUUCGCCCAUGAAAGCGGUACGCGAGCUGGGUUCAGAACGUCGUGAGACAGUUCGGUCCAUAUCCGGUGUAGGCGUUAGAAUAUUGAGAGGAGCCUUCUUUAGUACGAGAGGACCGAGAAGGACACACCGCUGGUGUACCAGUUAUCGUGCCAACGGUAAACGCUGGGUAGCUAUGUGUGGAGUGGAUAACCGCUGAAAGCAUCUAAGUGGGAAGCCCACCUCAAGAUGAG
rnacentral:rRNA from 1 species